rnacentral:lncRNA from 1 species
AGGAGAGGAAGGUAUCUGUACUUGAAUAACUAUAAGCCAAACCUUCUAGAUGUUUCGACGCUUGAUUCUCCAAUAGGAUUGAAUCUAAGAUGAAUGCUUGGUUUACGUUAUGGAAGAAAGACAUGUAUAUGUGAUAUUAGAUAUUGACUCGUGCUAGUUAUAUAUGAAAUGAACUAAAGAUAUAUUUUACUACUCUAGGGGAUUCUAAUAGACUAGAAGUCCUUCUG